rnacentral:rRNA from 1 species
AGCGAACGCUGGCGGCAGACCUAACACAUGCAAGUCGAGCGGAUGACGGGAGCUUGCUCCUUGAUUCAGCGGCGGACGGGUGAGUAAUGCCUAGGAAUCUGCCUGGUAGUGGGGGACAGCGUUUCGAAAGGAACGCUAAUACCGCAUACGUCCUACGGGAGAAAGCAGGGGACCUUCGGGCCUCGCGCUAUCAGAUGAGCCUAGGUCGGAUUAGCUAGUAGGUGAGGUAAUGGCUCACCUAGGCGACGAUCCGUAACUGGUCUGAGAGGAUGAUCAGUCACACUGGAACUGAGACACGGUCCAGACUCCUACGGGAGGCAGCAGUGGGGAAUAUUGGACAAUGGGCGAAAGCCUGAUCCAGCCAUGCCGCGUGUGUGAAGAAGGUCUUAGGAUUGUAAAGCACUUUAAGUUGGGAGGAAGGGCAGUAAGUUAAUACCUUGCUGUUUUGACGUUACCGACAGAAUAAGCACCGGCUAACUCUGUGCCAGCAGCCGCCGUAAUAC